ensembl:snRNA U6 U6 spliceosomal RNA
GUACUCGCUUCGGCAGCACAUAUACAAAAACUGGAAUGAUACAGAAAAGAUUAGCAUCCUGAGCAAGGAUGACAUGUAAAUUCAUGAAGCAUUCCAUUAAAAA